rnacentral:tRNA from 1 species
GCGCUUGUAGCUCAGUUGGAUAGAGCGUUCGGCUACGAACCGUAAGGUCGGGGAUUCGAGUUCCUCCAGGCGCACCA